GAUGAACGCUGGCGGCGUGCCUAAUACAUGCAAGUCGAGCGAACAGACGAGGAGCUUGCUCCUCUGACGUUAGCGGCGGACGUGUGAGUAACACGUGGAUAACCUACCUAUAAGACUGGGAUAAUUUCGGGAAACCGGAGCUAAUACCGGAUAAUAUAUUGAACCGCAUGGUUCAAUAGUGAAAGACGGUUUUGCUGUCACUUAUAGAUGGAUCCGCGCCGCAUUAGCUAGUUGGUAAGGUAACGGCUUACCAAGGCAACGAUGCGUAGCCGACCUGAGAGGGUGAUCGGCCACACUGGAACUGAGACACGGUCCAGACUCCUACGGGAGGCAGCAGUAGGGAAUCUUCCGCAAUGGGCGAAAGCCUGACGGAGCAACGCCGCGUGAGUGAUGAAGGUCUUCGGAUCGUAAAACUCUGUUAUUAGGGAAGAACAAAUGUGUAAGUAACUAUGCACGUCUUGACGGUACCUAAUCAGAAAGCCACGGCUAACUACGUG
rnacentral:rRNA from 1 species